rnacentral:rRNA from 1 species
AACGAACGCUGGCGGCAUGCCUAACACAUGCAAGUCGAACGAGACCUUCGGGUCUAGUGGCGCACGGGUGCGUAACGCGUGGGAACCUGCCCUUAGGUUCGGAAUAACUCCCCGACAGGGGUGCUAAUACCGGAUAAUGUCUUCGGACCAAAGAUUUAUCGCCUUAGGAUGGGCCCGCGUUGGAUUAGCUAGUUGGUAGGGUAAAAGCCUACCAAGGCGACGAUCCAUAGCUGGUCUGAGAGGAUGAUCAGACACACUGGGACUGAGACACGGCCCAGACUCCUACGGGAGGCAGCAGUGGGGAAUAUUGGACAAUGGGCGAAAGCCUGAUCCAGCAAUGCCGCGUGAGUGAUGAAGGCCUUAGGGUUGUAAAGCUCUUUCACCGGAGAAGAUAAUGACGGUACCGGGAGAAGAAGCCCCGGCUAACUUCGUG